GAUGGGGGGACCAUCCUCCAAGCCUAAAUACUACCUGAUGACCGAUAGCGAAUAGUACUGUGAAGGAAAGGUGAAAAGCACCCCGGGAGGGGAGUGAAAGAGAACCUGAAACCCUGUGCUUACAAGCACUUAGAGCACGUCAAAGUGUGAUAAGGUACCUAUUGUAGAAUGGUCCGGCGAGUUAUUGUAUGCAGCGAGGUUAAGUAGUUCAGCUACGGAGCCGAAGUGAGAGCGAGUGUUAACAGCACGUUCAGUUGCAUGCAAUAGACCCGAAACCGGGUGACCUAUCCAUGUCCAGGAUGAAGUGAGGGUAAAACCUCAUGGAGGUCCGAACCCACUCCCGUUGAAAUGGUAGGGGAUGAGGUGUGGAUAGCGGAGAAAUUCCAAUCGAACCCGGAUAUAGCUGGUUCUCCCCGAAAUAGUUUUAGGACUAGCCUCGUGAUCAAGAUUAUCGGAGGUAAAGCACUGAAUGGCCUAGGGGUCGAGAGAUUACCGAAGCCUAUCAAACUCUGAAUGCCGAAUAAUCAUGCACGGGAGUCAGACUGUGUGAGAUAAGUUUCAUAGUCGAAAGGGAAACAGCCCAGACCUACAGCUAAGGUCCCAAAGUACGUUUAAGUGGAAAACGAUGUGAAAUUGCGUAGACAACCAGGAUGUUGGCUUAGAAGCAGCCAUACAUUAAAAGAGUGCGUAAUAGCUCACUGGUCGAGUGACUUUGCGCGGAAAAUUUAACGGGGCUAAAACGUACACCGAAGCUUAGGCUUGCAACUAUGUUGCAGGGGUAGGGGAGCGUUGAAUGAGGGGUGAAGUCGUAGCGAAAGCGACGGUGGACUUCAUUCAAGUGAGAAUGCCGGAAUGAGUAGCGAGAAUUAUGUGAGAAUCAUAAUGGCCGAAAGCCUAAGGUUUUUGGAGGAAGGUUCGUCCGCUCCAAGUAAGUCGGAAGCUAAGGUGAGGCUGAAAAGCGUAGCCGAUGCACAAACGGUUGAAAUUCCGUUACCACAGAAAGAUUUAAACUAAGGGACACUUUUGAAGAGCUGAUGCCGGGUGUUGGUUACCCCGGUCGUAAGGGAACGAAAUUAAGUAGUGAAGUCAGCGUGGAUGAAGGCGAGAAAAGCUUAGUGUAUAUCUUAUGUGUCCGUACCGCAAACCGACACAGGUAGGUAGGAAGAGAAUUCUAAGGCCAACGGGAGAAGGGUAGUUAAGGAACUCGGCAAAAUGUCCCCGUAACUUCGGAAUAAGGGGAGGUUUCUACGGAAACCCGCAGAGAAUAGUCCCAGGCAACUGUUUAUCAAAAACACAGCUCUAUGCUAAAUCGAAAGAUGACGUAUAUGGGGUGACGCCUGCCCGGUGCCGGAAGGUUAAGAGGAGGAGUGAGAGCCCUGAAUCGAAGCCCCGGUAAACGGCGGCCGUAACUAUAACGGUCCUAAGGUAGCGAAAUUCCUUGUCAGGUAAGUUCUGACCCGCACGAAUGGCGUAAUGAUCUGG
rnacentral:rRNA from 1 species